UAACAAGGAUUCCCCUAGUAACUGCGAGUGAAGAGGGAAAAGCUCAAAUUUAAAAUCUGGCAGUCUUUUGAUUGUCCGAGUUGUAAUUUAGAGAAGUGCUACCCGUGUUGGCCCGUGUAUAAGUUUCCUGGAAUGGAACCUCAUAGAGGGUGAGAAUCCCGUCUUUGACACGGACUACCAAUGCUUUUGUUGGUGUGCUCUCGAAGAGUCGAGUUGUUUGGGAAUGCAGCUCUAAAUGGGUGGUAAAUUCCAUCUAAAGCUAAAUAUUGGGGAGAGACCGAUAGCGAACAAGUACCGUGAGGGAAAGAUGAAAAGAACUUUGGAAAGAGAGUUAAACAGUACGUGAAAUUGCUGAAAGGGAAACGCUUGAAGUCAGUCGCAUUACUUGGGGAUCAGCCUGCCUUCGUUGGUUGGUGUACUUCCUGAUUAAUGGGUCAGCAUCAGUUUUGACCGGUGGAUAAGAGCUUGAGGAAUGUGGCAUCUCCGGGUGUGUUAUAGCCUCUUGUUGUAUACAUCGGUUGGGACUGAGGAACUCAGCACGCCGCAAGGCCGGGUUGUUUACAAUCACGUACGUGCUUAGGAUGCUGGCAUAAUGGCUUUAAUCGACCCGUCUUGAAACACGGACCAAGGAGUCUAACAUGCCUGCGAGUGUUUGGGUGGAAAACCCGAGCGCAUAAUGAAAGUGAAAGUUAGGAUCUCUGUUAGUGGAGAGCACUGACACCCGGCCCAGACCUUUUGUGACGGUGCCGCGGUUGAGCAUGUAUGUUGGGACCCGAAAGAUGGUGAACUAUGCCUGAAUAGGGUGAAGCCAGAGGAAACUC
rnacentral:rRNA from 1 species